GCGGUUCAUUCCCGACCACGAGGAGGGCACGAAGCUGAUGGUCGUGAACGGCGAGAUGAAGGUCGUCGUGGGUGGAACGAUGGGAUGCCACCGUCGUGGGCGGGUGGUCGGCCUUGGGGACUUCACCAGUGCUCCCCAUGCUCGAGUGCAGCCCGCUCGACUGCUCAUGGGAAGACCCUUUGGGUGGCUCUUUGUACGCCCAGACUUCCGCACAGGUGGCUUCGGUGCGGCGGCAAUUCCUCACCGGGUCUCAGGCAGUACCGCCUUGCCGCACUGCUCCGUGGAUGGAGACAAUCAUGGCAGUACUCCAGGGUCAAGAGCAGGUACCGCAGGAUGAUGCGCUCGGAGGAUGCUGUGAAGUGUUCGUGAGAGAUCUAGGUCGUCGUCUCCCAGUCAACUCUGGGUUGCUGGACCGUUGUCUCCUUAUAAUGUAAUUAUUUAUUU